AUUGAACGCUGGCGGCAGGCCUAACACAUGCAAGUCGAGCGAGCGGCGGACGGGGGAGUAAUGUAUGGGGACUGCCCGAUAGAGGGGGAUAACUACUGGAAACGGUAGCUAAUACCGCAUAUUAUCGGAUAACCCAUAUGGGAUUAGUGAGUUGGUGAGGUAAUGGGUCAACAAGGCGACGAUCCCUAGCUGGUCUGAGAGGAUGGUCAGGCACACUGGGACUAGGACACAGCCCAGACUCCUACGGAGGCAGCAGUGGGGAAUAUUGCACAAUGGGUGCAAGCCUGAUGCAGCCAUGCCGGGUGUAUGAAGAAGGCCCUAGGGUUGUAAAGUACUUUCAGUCGGGAGGCGUUAACGACAGAAGAAGCACCGGCUAACUCCGUGCCAGCAGCCGCGGUAAUUC
rnacentral:rRNA from 1 species